rnacentral:tRNA from 1 species
GUCUCCCUCGUCUAGUGGUCAGGACAUCGGGUUUUCAUCCCGACAACAUGGGUUCAAUUCCCGUGGGAGAUG